rnacentral:rRNA from 1 species
AGAGUUUGAUCAUGGCUCAGGAUGAACGCUAGCGGCAGGCCUAAUACAUGCAAGUCGGACGGGAUUCAGGGAGUAGCUUGCUACGAACUGAUGAGAGUGGCGCACGGGUGCGUAACGCGUGAGCAACCUACCCAUAUCAGGGGGAUAGCCUCUCGAAAGAGAGAUUAACACCGCAUAACAUCAUUAACCGGCAUCGGAUUAUGAUCAAAUAUUUAUAGGAUAUGGAUGGGCUCGCGUGACAUUAGCUAGUUGGAGAGGUAACGGCUCACCAAGGCUACGAUGUCUAGGGGCUCUGAGAGGAGAAUCCCCCACACUGGUACUGAGACACGGACCAGACUCCUACGGGAGGCAGCAGUAAGGAAUAUUGGUCAAUGGAGGCAACUCUGAACCAGCCAUGCCGCGUGCAGGAUGACUGCCCUAUGGGUUGUAAACUGCUUUUGUCAGGGAAUAAACCUUUCCACGUGUGGAGAGCUGAAUGUACCUGAAGAAUAAGGAUCGGCUAACUCCGUGCCAGCAGCCGCGGUAAUACGGAGGAUCCAAGCGUUAUCCGGAUUUAUUGGGUUUAAAGGGUGCGUAGGCGGUCCUAUAAGUCAGUGGUGAAAGACGGCAGCUUAACUGUCGCAGUGCCUUUGAUACUGUAGGACUUGAAUCUAUUUGAAGUGGGCGGAAUAAGACAAGUAGCGGUGAAAUGCAUAGAUAUGUCUUAGAACUCCGAUUGCGAAGGCAGCUCACUAAGUUAGUAUUGACGCUGAUGCACGAAAGCGUGGGGAUCAAACAGGAUUAGAUACCCUGGUAGUCCACGCCCUAAACGAUGAUAACUCGAUGUUUGCGAUACACAGUAAGCGUCCAAGCGAAAGCGUUAAGUUAUCCACCUGGGGAGUACGGUCGCAAGAUUGAAACUCAAAGAAAUGA